rnacentral:rRNA from 1 species
UACGUAGGUGGCAAGCGUUGUCCGGAUUUACUGGGCGUAAAGAGCGCGCAGGCGGUCGUUCAAGUCGCGUGUGAAAGCCCCCGGCUCAACUGGGGAGGGUCACGCGAUACUGAUCGACUCGAAGGCAGGAGAGGGAAGUGGAAUUCCCGGUGUAGUGGUGAAAUGCGUAGAUAUCAGGAGGAACACCGGUGGCGAAGGCGGAUCUCUGGGCCGAUACUGACGCUGAGGAGCGAAAGCGUGGGGAGCGAACAGG